CCAGGUUGCUGAUUACCAGAGUAACUGCCAAGCUUUCAACUCCUUGUCAUCAAUGGGCUGUGAAUGACAGACAGCAUUAAUGUUGGCAAGCUCCCACUCUCCUUUUCGCCUUUCCCAAAUGUAAUUAAACUGCACUAAUACAGCAAAAGAAGAGCUGCAGCUUUAUUUUACUCACCCUAAUAAUUAAAUCACAGAAGCACACAAUGGAGUCAAAUAAACCCAUCAUGGCACAGAAAUUCAGAGGAAGGACGGAGGCUGCAGUAUUCCGAGGCUAUCAAAGGGAGAACCAGCACCUCAAACAUCCACCUCAUAUGUUUAUAACAUCAAGCAAAGAAAGAAGAAGCCACAAAGGACAUCGAAAAACAGAAGAGCAUAAAUAAGUCUUCAACUGUUCUUGUGCAUCAACAAUAAUUCUUUUGUAAGAAGCCGUAAAACUUCCUCGUGAAAUUGCAACAGGUGAUGGAACUUCAAAAUUCAAUGUCCAGAGCCAAAGAUAUAAAAAGCUGCUCAGGAAUUCACAAUCUGCAGCCACAGUCUUCCAUGGGAAUCCCUUUGAAAGGAGUGCUGUAUGUGUGUGUGAAAAGUAUAGAAGAGAAAGCUUAAGUGUAGAAUGAACAAGCACUGGGACUCUGGUUCUUUCAAAAAGCUAAAGGAGCAUUUUUCAGCUGAAUACUGUUCCAUAUGACUGAGUUGUGAACUGAGACAGUCUCUUCCUAUUUGAGUCCUUUUUUUGUUCAAGCAAAUGGGAUGACAUCAGGAAAACAGCUGACUCCACCAAACAGUUUCUGCUCCUAACUGGAACAACCUGCAAUGCCCAGAGUGGUGACUCAGCAGGUAAGAGGGGUCAUAACAUGUGUUAAUUGCCAGGAUAGUUAUGAUGUCUUAGAAAAUAAUUUUUAUCCUCUGUUCAUCACAUGGAUCCAGUCUUGUCAUUUGUGAACUAAAAUCUGGGCAGGAUUACUGGCACAAUGAGAAGUGGAUCCAUACCAUAAAUGUAAGGGACUGGGACAAACAGAGGCAAGUCCACAGUAGGAACAGUAUUGUUCGGUGCCAAAAAAAAGUGUGAAAGAUGAUACUAUUAUCUUAGAAAAAAGAAAUCUUAUGCCAGUGAUGUUAGAACCUCAGAAAUAAUGUGUCAAAGACGUUGGAACAUUUAGAAUACAAUCUCUUACUGUUCCAAUGUCAUCAACAUGUUGUUCUCACCAUUUUCUAUGACAAGUGAAUUUACUGAGUCAAUUUGUCUUCAACAUGUUAAAUGUACUAUGUGUAGGCAGGUAAGCUAACCUUAUUUAUAUAGUAUAACAAGGGAGAAUGCUAACUACACUCACUUUUGCACUUUUGAAAACUGUUUUCUAAGAGAAAAUACUACACAUCCAUUUUCAGAGCUGCGCUUUUCUCACACCUGACCUAGUGUUUCUCAAGAGAAUUGCUUCAACAAAGAGGGGGAUAAUUCUACCUGUGGUGUUGAAGUGAAAAUUUUGGUUGGCUCAUUACUCUGCUUGAACUGCUCUCGCACCAGAUAUUCCUUCAUCUUUCCUAAAAAAAAAAGUUCUCUAAAAGUAAGACCCUGAAAUGUCUGUCCCCCCUUCUGCUUCAUGCAUUACUUUAGUAUUUCUAGGUCUACCUUUUUAAUUUAUUAUUUUUUUUUUUUCCCCACUAAUUGCUU
rnacentral:lncRNA from 1 species